rnacentral:rRNA from 1 species
AUGAGGAACUUUGCCACUCUAAUAAAUAGGAAGGCCAUGGCAUCUUUAACCAUGCUCAUCUUAUGAUCGAUUUGAAACGAGAGAAAUGCACGUGUUUUCAAUAACAAAGGGACACCGCCCACGAUCUUGUUAGACAACAUCAAGAAAGAGACAUCACUUUGGGUGGCCGCGGGAGCUAAGAAGCUAGGGGUGCUCAUGUCGGGAGAGUAA